GACGAACGCUGGCGGCGUGCCUAAUACAUGCAAGUAGAACGCACAGUUUAUACCAUAGCUUGCUACACCAUAAACUGUGAGUUGCGAACGGGUGAGUAACGCGUAGGUAACCUGCCUGGUAGCGGGGGAUAACUAUUGGAAACGAUAGCUAAUACCGCAUAAUAUUGAUUAUUGCAUGAUAAUUGAUUGAAAGAUGCUAUUGCAUCACUACCAGAUGGACCUGCGUUGUAUUAGCUAGUAGGUGAGGUAACGGCUCACCUAGGCGACGAUACAUAGCCGACCUGAGAGGGUGAUCGGCCACACUGGGACUGAGACACGGCCCAGACUCCUACGGGAGGCAGCAGUAGGGAAUCUUCGGCAAUGGACGAAAGUCUGACCGAGCAACGCCGCGUGAGUGAAGAAGGGUUUCGGAUCGUAAAGCUCUGUUGUAAGAGAAGAACGGGUGUGAGAGUGGAAAGUUCACACUGUGACGGUAUCUUACCAGAAAGGGACGGCUAACUACGUG
rnacentral:rRNA from 1 species